rnacentral:rRNA from 1 species
UUCGCAAUGCCCGAAAGGGUGACGAAGCGACGCCGCGUGGGUGAGGAAGGCCUUCGGGUUGUAAAGCCCUGUCAGGAGUUAAGAAAUGUAAGUGCGCUAAUAUCGCAUUUAUUUGACGAAGGCUCCAAAGGAAGCCACGGCUAACUCUGUGCCAGCAGCCGCGGUAAUACAGAGGUGGCAAGCGUUGUUCGGAAUUAUUGGGCGUAAAGAGCACGUAGGUGGGUUUGUAAGUCAGAUGUGAAAGCCUUCUGUUCAACGGAAGAAUUGCAUCUGAAACUGCGAGUCUUGAGUGUAGGAGGGGAGAGUGGAACUUCUGGUGGAGCGGUGAAAUGCGUAGAUAUCAGAAGGAACGUCGGCGGCGAAAGCGACUCUCUGGCCUAUUACUGACACUCAGUGUGCGAAAGUUAGGGGAGCAAACGGGAUUAGAUACCCCGGUAGUCCUAACCGUAAACGAUGGGCACUAAGUAGAGGGGUUUU